GAUGAAUGCUGGCGGCGUGCCUAAUACAUGCAAGUCGAGCGAAUGGAUUAAGAGCUUGCUCUUAUGAAGUUAGCGGCGGACGGGUGAGUAACACGUGGGUAACCUGCCCAUAAGACUGGGAUAACUCCGGGAAACCGGGGCUAAUACCGGAUAACAUUUUGAACCGCAUGGUUCGAAAUUGAAAGGCGGCUUCGGCUGUCAAUUCUGGAUGGACCCGCGCCGCAUUAGCUAGUUGGUGAGGUAACGGCUCACCAAGGCAACGAUGCAUAGCCGACCUGAGAGGGUGAUCGGCCACACUGGGACUGAGACACGGCCCAGACUCCUACGGGAGGCAGCAGUAGGGAAUCUUCCGCAAUGGACGAAAGUCUGACGGAGCAACGCCGCGUGAGUGAUGAAGGCUUUCGGGUCGUAAAACUCUGUUGUUAGGGAAGAACAAGUGCUAGUUGAAUAAGCUGGCACCUUGGCGGUACCUAACCAGAAAGCCACGGCUAACUACGUGCCAGCCGCCGCAGUAA
rnacentral:rRNA from 1 species